rnacentral:rRNA from 1 species
AGGGCUCGCAGGCGGUUUCUUAAGUCUGAUGUGAAAGCCCCCGGCUCAACCGGGGAGGGUCAUUGGAAACUGGGGAACUUGAGUGCAGAAGAGGAGAGUGGAAUUCCACGUGUAGCGGUGAAAUGCGUAGAGAUGUGGAGGAACACCAGUGGCGAAGGCGACUCUCUGGUCUGUAACUGACGCUGAGGAGCGAAAGCGUGGGGAGCGAACAGGAUUAGAUACCCUGGUAGUCCACGCCGUAAACGAUGAGUGCUAAGUGUUAGGGGGUUUCCGCCCCUUAGUGCUGCAGCUAACGCAUUAAGCACUCCGCCUGGGGAGUACGGUCGCAAGACUGAAACUCAAAGGAAUUGACGGGGGCCCGCACAAGCGGUGGAGCAUGUGGUUUAAUUCGAAGCAACGCGAAGAACCUUACCAGGUCUUGACAUCCUCUGACAAUCCUAGAGAUAGGACGUCCCCUUCGGGGGCAGAGUGACAGGUGGUGCAUGGUUGUCGUCAGCUCGUGUCGUGAGAUGUUGGGUUAAGUCCCGCAACGAGCGCAACCCUUGAUCUUAGUUGCCAGCAUUCAGUUGGGCACUCUAAGGUGACUGCCGGUGACAAACCGGAGGAAGGUGGGGGAUGACGUCAAAUCAUCAUGCCCCUUAUGACCUGGGCUACACACGUGCUACAAUGGACAGAACAAAGGGCAGCGAAACCGCGAGGUUAAGCCAAUCCCACAAAUCUGUUCUCAGUUCGGAUCGCAGUCUGCAACUCGACUGCGUGAAGCUGGAAUCGCUAGUAAUCGCGGAUCAGCAUGCCGCCGGUGAAUACGUUCCCGGGCCUUGUACACACCGCCCGUCACACCACGAAGAGUUUGUAACACCCGAAGUCGGUGAGGUAACCUUUUAGGAGCCAGCCGCCGAAGGUGGGACAGAUGAUUGGGG